ensembl:lncRNA LINC00572 long intergenic non-protein coding RNA 572
UCUUCUCUCUUCCUCCUUCGGCUCCUGUUGGCCGGUGCCUUCCUGAACCUGAAGAAUAUCUUUGCUCUUUCCAACUCCCACAUUCAAAACAGAGUCUUACAACUCAGCCACAUUUUCUGCUGAGCCAGCCAGUGGGAACAAACACCAAGAGACCUGGAGCCACAGAAACACUCAUACAUGAGCCAAGAAGAAAAAAAUUGUGUGGCAGCUGCCCAGCUCUGCUCUGCAACCAUGCGCUUCCUGUUUACUGACUAAGACCUGAUGAACCUGUAUCUACUACUGCCCAGGGCACAUUAAAGUCACCACAACCCCUGCUAGAUGACUAUUUUGAUAUGGAGGGGAAAGAAUUGCUCCCCUCAGCCCAUGGGGAUAAAUUUAGGACCAUCACUGGCCAGCCUUAUGUCCUUGCCUGAGGAGUUGGAACUGGGAACCAAAAGGGAAAGUUCACCUGACUUGGAAACGUGCACACAAGCAGUCUCUCAACACUGUGACGUUUAUAGUGAAGGAAGCAUCACCGAAGAGAGUUGCGUUUCAUUCGGAUGGCCUGGCCAUAAUAAACUGUCCUGAAUGGAACA